rnacentral:rRNA from 1 species
AUGCACGCUGGCGGCGUGCCUAAUACAUUCAAGUCGAGCGAACAGACGAGGAGCUUGCUCCUCUGACGUUAGCGGCGGACGGGUGAGUAACACGUGGAUAACCUACCUAUAAGACUGGGAUAACUUCGGGAAACCGGAGCUAAUACCGGAUAAUAUAUUGAACCGCAUGGUUCAAUAGUGAAAGACGGUUUUGCUGUCACUUAUAGAUGGAUCCGCGCCGCAUUAGCUAGUUGGUAAGGUAACGGCUUACCAAGGCGACGAUGCGUAGCCGACCUGAGAGGGUGAUCGGCCACACUGGAACUGAGACACGGUCCAGACUCCUACGGGAGGCAGCAGUAGGGAAUCUUCCGCAAUGGGCGAAAGCCUGACGGAGCAACGCCGCGUGAGUGAUGAAGGUCUUCGGAUCGUAAAACUCUGUUAUUAGGGAAGAACAAAUGUGUAAGUAACUAUGCACGUCUUGACGGUACCUAAUCAGAAAGCCACGGCUAACUACGUG